GAUGAACGCUGGCGGCGUGCCUAAUACAUGCCAGUCGAGCGAACAGACGAGGAGCUUGCUCCUCUGACGUUAGCGGCGGACGGGUGAGUAACACGUGGAUAACCUACCUAUAAGACUGGGAUAACUUCGGGAAACCGGAGCUAAUACCGGAUAAUAUAUUGAACCGCAUGGUUCAAUAGUGAAAGACGGUUUUGCUGUCACUUAUAGAUGGAUCCGCGCCGCAUUAGCUAGUUGGUAAGGUAACGGCUUACCAAGGCAACGAUGCGUAGCCGACCUGAGAGGGUGAUCGGCCACACUGGAACUGAGACACGGUCCAGACUCCUACGGGAGGCAGCAGUAGGGAAUCUUCCGCAAUGGGCGAAAGCCUGACGGAGCAACGCCGCGUGAGUGAUGAAGGUCUUCGGAUCGUAAAACUCUGUUAUUAGGGAAGAACAAAUGUGUAAGUAACUAUGCACGUCUUGACGGUACCUAAUCAGAAAGCCACGGCUAACUACGAG
rnacentral:rRNA from 1 species